UACGUAGGGCGCAAGCGUUGUCCGGAUUCACUGGGUGUAAAGGGUGCGCAGGCGGACUGGCAAGUCAGGGGUGAAAUCUCACAGCUCAACUGUGAAACUGCCUUUGAUACUGCUGGUCUUGAGUCAGGGAGAGGUUGAUGGAAUUCCAGGUGUAGCGGUGAAAUGCGUAGAUAUCGGAAGGAACAUCAGUGGCGAAAGCGACUUCCUGGACCAAUACUGACGCUCAUGUGCGAAAGCGUGGGGAGCAAACAGG
rnacentral:rRNA from 1 species